rnacentral:rRNA from 1 species
AGAGUUUGAUGGUGGCUCAGGAUGAACGCUGGCGGCGUGCUUAACACAUGCAAGUCGAACGAAGAUACUUAAAAUGAGAGCUUCGGCAGGAUUUUUAUUUAUCUUAGUGGCGGACGGGUGAGUAACGUGUGGGCAACCUGCCCUAUACUGGGGAAUAAUCACUGGAAACGGUGACUAAUACCGCAUGUCAUCACGAGAAGGCAUCUUUUUGUGAGAAAAGGAGUAAUUCGGUAUAGGAUGGGCCCGCAUCUGAUUAGCUAGUUGGUGAGAUAACAGCCCACCAAGGCGACGAUCAGUAGCCGACCUGAGAGGGUGAUCGGCCACAUUGGGACUGAGACACGGCCCAAACUCCUACGGGAGGCAGCAGUGGGGAAUAUUGCACAAUGGGGGAAACCCUGAUGCAGCAACGCCGCGUGAAGGAAGAAGGUUUUCGGAUCGUAAACUUCUAUCAACAGGGACGAAGAAAGUGACGGUACCUGAAUAAGAAGCCCCGGCUAACUACGUGCCAGCAGCCGCGGUAAUACGUAGGGGGCAAGCGUUAUCCGGAAUUACUGGGUGUAAAGGGAGCGUAGGCGGCACGCCAAGCCAGAUGUGAAAGCCCGAGGCUUAACCUCGUGGAUUGCAUUUGGAACUGGCGAGCUAGAGUACAGGAGAGGAAAGCGGAAUUCCUAGUGUAGCGGUGAAAUGCGUAGAUAUUAGGAAGAACACCAGUGGCGAAGGCGGCUUUCUGGACUGAAACUGACGCUGAGGCUCGAAAGCGUGGGGAGCAAACAGGAUUAGAUACCCUGGUAGUCCACGCCGUAAACGAUGAGUGCUAGGUGUCGGGGAGGAAUCCUCGGUGCCGCAGCUAACGCAAUAAGC